GACGAACGCUGGCGGCGUGCUUAACACAUGCAAGUCGAGCGAGACCCCGCUUUCGGGUGGGUGUUCUAGCGGCGAACGGGUGAGUAACACGUGGGCAACCUGCCCUCAGCUCUGGGAUAACUCCAAGAAAUUGGGGCUAAUACCGGAUAUGACCGCUGACCGCAUGGUCUGGUGGUGGAAAGAUUUAUCGGCUGGGGAUGGGCCCGCGGCCUAUCAGCUUGUUGGUGGGGUAGUGGCCUACCAAGGCGACGACGGGUAGCCGGCCUGAGAGGGUGACCGGCCACACUGGGACUGAGACACGGCCCAGACUCCUGCGGGGGGCAGCAGUGGGGAAUAUUGCGCAAUGGGCGAAAGCCUGACGCAGCGACGCCGCGUGGGGGAUGACGGCCUUCGGGUUGUAAACCUCUUUCAGCAGGGACGAAGCGAAAGUGACGGUACCUGCAGAAGAAGCACCGGCCAACUACGUGCCAGCAGCCGCGGUAA
rnacentral:rRNA from 1 species